UACGUAGGCAGCGAGCGUUGUUCGGAAUUACUGGGCGUAAAGAGUGUGUAGGCGGUGCUCUAAGUUCGGUGUGAAAUCUCCUGCUUAACUGGGAGGGUGCGCCGGAAACUGGGAGUGCUCGAGCGUGAGAGAGGAAAGCGGAAUCCUGGUGUAGCGGUGAAAUGCGUAGAUAUCAGGAGGAACACCUGUGGUGUAGACGGCUUUCUGGACCUUGCUGACGCUGAGACACGAAAAGCGUGGGUAGCAAACAGG
rnacentral:rRNA from 1 species